AUUGAACGCUGGCGGCAGGCCUAACACAUGCAAGUCGAGCGAGCGGCGGACGGGUGAGUAAUGUCUGGGUAACUGCCUGCUGGAUGGGGAUAACUACUGGAAACGGUAGCUAAUACCGCAUACCAUCAGAUGUGCCCAGAUGGGAUUAGCUAGUAGGUGGGGUAAUGGCUCACCUAGGCGACGAUCCCUAGCUGGUCUGAGAGGAUGACCAGCCACACUGGUGCUGGGACACGGAGCAGACUCCGACGGGAGGCAGCAGUGGGACAUAUAGCACAAGGGGCGCAAGCCUGAUGCGGGCAAGGCGCGAGUGUGAAGAGGGCCUACGGGGUGUAGAGCACUAUCAGCGAGGAGGCGUUACUCAAAGAAGAAGCACCGGCUAACUCCGUGCCAGCAGCCGCGGUAAUAC
rnacentral:rRNA from 1 species